UGAUUUACCCUUCAGUUUUAAAAACAGUUUUACGUUAUCUACUCAUCUGUUUAUUCCUUAAAUCACACCUCUGUUUGCUCCAAUUUUACAUUCUUGAUUUUGGAAACUAGAUACCUAUUCAAAUUAAAAUAAACAUUCGAUUCCUAUCUACUUUUGUCCAAAAAUCGCUGCUCAUCGUUAGAUGGUUUAAGCAUCGGUUUUGAUUUUCGGAUUUUGGAACUCAACCGCUUCAUUCCAAAAAGGUCUCUCCAUACUUUUCUCUCGACAAGAUUUUAGGGUUUUGGAUGUUAUUCAUGGUUUCCAUCAAUCUCAUCUUCUAUUACUGGCGACAUAACUCCCAUCCAUCAACAAAACCUUUUCAUCUUUGUGGAGUUUUGGGUUCAUCUUCUUUAAGAUCCACUUAAUGGUGGUUUGAGGGUAUUUAUUUGAAGUUGGGGCAGAUAUGAGGUAUGAAUCUGGAUCUUCGACUCGAUUUUGAUUUUUAUUUGUAUGAAUCAUGAUUUUUAUUUGUAUCUUUUACUGUUUAGAAACUAUGUAAUUGUAUAUAUGCAUUUUCAAGGUCUAAAUGAUAAUAAUGAUUGAGAUGGGAGCUUAUCAGACUCGGAAUUGGUUCAAUUGAUUUGUAGGGUUCUAGCUUGUCUAACAACUAUUUUGGUGAUCAAGAAUACAGGGAUGAUUGGAGUGAGAAAGUGUAUAAGAUCAAUUGAAUUUUUAGAGAAGUCUUUCCUAGGAUAAAGUAUAUGAGGGAUUUUUUAUGUUUAUUAAAAAACUUACUAACAGAUAGGCUCUUACUUGAUGUUGAUUAUUUGACUUCUGUGACCAAAGGACCAAUGGCCUAGCGGUAUGGAGUGACCAUCUCAUAUGAGAAGUCAGGGAUUCAAGUCUCGAUGGAGACAUAGGUGGUUAUUUAGGACUAGAUCGAUUAGUUAGUUUGCCAUUUCAAAAAAAAAUUGACUUCUGUGAGUUUGCAUUUUACUCUUUGCAGUUGAGACUGCUUUGAAGAAGAGAAGAUGAAAGAGAUGUUUGUUAAAUUGUUGUUUGGUGAAGUCAUCUCUUAGAAGGACAAAGGGGGUGAAUGUGUAACCAUGUCUAGGUCUUCCCACAAAUUUGACUCAGAAUUGGGUCAUAUUCACUUUUAUAAUAUCUUAUUCCAUCUAUUAUUAGUGACCAACACUUUUAUUUUUCUUACUUUUUGUCAUAAGUAGACAAUUUUAAUUUAAAGUUUGGUUAUGUAUACUAUCAUGCAGUUACUAUUGAGUGUAGGUAGAGGAGUAGUGAUGGAAACUCAAUAAAUACCUUAUGUAUCGAUUUGGAUUUUUCGUUAUGUGACUCCUGUCAAGUAUAGCAAUGAGAUUUUAGUGUUAAUGAGUUCAAAAAAUUUAUGAUUUUUGUUUUUAUUUUGUUUUUCUUGUGGAUGAUGGGCUUGGUCAUUAUAAUAUUGACAUGUCUUUGUUCUCAUGUGCAGGUGAGUAGUGUGUAGUUCUUAGGUGGUUGGGGAUUUGGGAAAAGAAUGUGUAAUUGGGAAGGAUAAAAGUGCACAAAACUUGAGGUUUAAUUGAAACAUGUUUUAUCUAUUAAACAUGUGAUCUACUGUGUAUUUCUUCAACACUAUUAAUGUGUUUAAACUUAUAUUAUAAAUUUGGAUUUUCACUUUCAUAUUCAAUUUUAUAUUUAUUAUACUAUAUUGUACAAAACAUUGUAAUUUUCAUGAUUUACUGCC
rnacentral:lncRNA from 1 species